ensembl:Mt_tRNA
GAGGAUUUAGCUUAAAUUAAAGUAAUUGAUUUGCACUCAUUAGAUGUAAGAUUUAGACUUGCAAUCCUUA